rnacentral:rRNA from 1 species
CCUACGGGAGGCAGCAGUGGGGAAUCUUGGACAAUGGGCGCAAGCCUGAUCCAGCCAUGCCGCGUGAGUGAAGAAGGCCUUCGGGUUGUAAACCUCUUUCACCAGGGACGAUAAUGACGGUACCUGGAGAAUAAGCCCCGGCAAACUUCGUGCCAGCAGCCGCGGUAAU